UUUAAAGUCUAAUCUGCCCCCUGAAAUUAUUUUAAAGGGCUGCGGUAUUUUAACCGUACAAAGGUAGCAUAAUAAUUAGGUUUUUGAUUGAAAUCUAGAAUGAAUGAUUGGACGAGAUACAAGCUGUUUUAUAAUAAUUAAUUAAAAUUUAAUUUUUUAGUCAAAAAGCUAAAAUUUUAUUAAAAGACGAGAAGACCCUAUAAAUCUUUAUAAUAAAUUUAUUUUAAUAAAUUAUUUUAUUUAAAUUAAUAAUUUUAAUAUUAAAUUAUUUUAUUGGGGUGAUACAAAAAUUUAAUUAACUUUUUUAUUAAAAUUUCUUAAAUUAAAGAUUUAUAAAAAUAUGAUCUAUUAUUAAUAAUUCAGAGAGUAAGAUACUUUAGGGAUAACAGCGUAAUUUUAAUUUUAAGUUCUUAUUAAAAUUAAAGAUUGCGACCUCGAUGUUGGAUUAAAAUUUAAUUUAAAUGCAAAGGUUUAAAAAUUAAG
rnacentral:rRNA from 1 species